rnacentral:tRNA from 1 species
GCUGAUAUGGCCGAGUCGUUAAGGCGAGUGAUUUGAAUACUCAUCAUCACUUGGGCAUUGCCCGCGUAGGUUCAAAUCCUGCUGUCAGCG